UUCGAGCUGAAAAAGCAAAAAAAUAAUCAUCAACUAUUUUGACAAGCUAUUAGGUUUUACGCCAACUCGAUUUGGAGGUUAGAAAGGAGUGCACUGUUUACAUGGACCUAGCACAGUUCGAUGCGGUCAUCGAUUUUGUUCGGGGAAAUUCGUCGACAAUCGACGAAGACCAUGUAUACAGUGCACACGAGCUGUCAAAUGACGUCACGCUGUAAAACCUAAUUAUCAUCGAUUACGUCAUCGGGUCAUCGGUGUAAUAGUAUCUGCGAAACCAUGUAGUGGUAGUUGUGUACGAAAAGAAUUUUGCCUAACAAAUCAAAAGCGCUAUGUAGUAAAUAAAACAUGCUUCAAUAUCAUUAAAAAAAAACAAAAAAAUCUUUUGCUGUGUUAUGAAUUUAAAUUUCUUAUUUAAUGUUGAUGUUAUAUUUGACUGUUACUACAGGAUGGCCCAUAAAAAAUGAGACAUGUGAAUUUUCACAGAAAAAGAUGUGCCAUUCUUUAAUGUAUUUAACAAUCGGAUUUUUUUUGUGUAUUAUGGUGUUAGUUUAGAAUGUUUAUCAUGAUAGUUUUUUGCAGUUCGCCAAAACUGUGUACAGGCGGUCUACAAUUAUGAAUGUAUUUUUGGAACAAUAUUUACCCUAAUUAAAUACCUUAUAUUUCAAAAAAGAAACAGGUUAAACUAUCCAACAAUGUGUCAAAAGCAGCGUUUAGAAGUCCCUCUUAAAUACGCUCAAUCAAUAAAGUUUUUAAAUUUUGUUAAAAUUGGCAAUUUGAGUGAAAAAUGCCAUUUUGGUUAUUAUUUUGUGUGAUUCUGUCAAAAUAAUCAAUAACUUAAAACCGUUGUCGAUGGCUCUAAGCAUGUUAAAAGUCACAUAAGAGCAUCUGCUAGUAUCAAUUAAAUACCAUCACUAGUAGCAUUUGUAUUUUUCGUUGAAACAUUGCAUGCUCCAAAAAAUCCUAAAAAUUGAUGCAUUUUCAGAAUCGGGUUAUUUUUGGAAAGUUCACUAUUUUACUAUAACUGGUAAAUAGAAUGCGUAAAAUUCAGUUGCAGUUGAGUCUUUUUACCGGACGGACGCGUUUUUGAAUUCGCUCUACACCUUUUUUUUAUUUACCUUCACUGACCCAGUCCACAAACGUAAACGUAAACUUAUUUAUUUUUUGUCGCGCGUCGCGUGUGCACUUAUUAACAAACGUAAGCAAAAUGCAGUGCUAUUUGCCGACGUGCUCUUCACCCUUCGACCAACAAUACCUCUGGAACUGUUCGGGCAUUUGUAAUCGAAAAUUUCACGCAGCCUGUAUUGGGGUCAAGCGUGGCUCCGAAGACGACUUGCAACUACAUGUACUUCCUAUAUGCAGCCUUUGUCGAAAUAACCUACAUAUGGAAAUCGACAUUAGAAAAAUAAUGCAGCAUCAUUUAGAAGGCAGUCAUAUGAUCUUGACUCACAUCAAGACCAAUGACAAGACAAACCAAGAAGCCCUUAAUGAACUGCAUAAUAAAAUCAUAGGCCUGCAGGAAGAAAUUAAGAAAUCUGGAGAAAUCGCAAGUCGAAUACUUUCGGCAGUAUUAACACAGGCACCGGCAAUGGACUUCCCCUUAAACGAAGUCAGAAAAGCAUUUGAAGACACCACCUCGGACCAGAAUCAAAAACUCGCUGAAUCAUUCUGCCGUAUCCAGGAAAUUACGUCAUCCCACCGGGAUGACAUAAUUAAAACAAUUGCCUCAGAAGAAAAAUGCCCCUCGGACAUAAUUUUAGCAGUCCACGAUGAAGUGAGGGCCCUCACUUCAUCCAUCAAUAAACUGCAAGACAAUGAAAUUGAAGUCCGGCAAAAAUCACUGGCAGAAGAAUUAAACGAACAAACCGUACUGGAAAUCGAAUCUGGCUGGCGACUUAUCGGCAGCAAAAAAAUUUGGAAGCCAGACUGGACCGACUUCGACGCCAGGCAGCGGACUCGCCGUCUUCAGGAAAAGGAAGCCGAAAAAGCACGUCGCCGCAACCGAAAACAUCGUCAACAAAUUCAGCACCAGCAACAACAACAAUCACAACAAAAUCAUCAGCAACGCCGGCAACAGCAACACCUGCAGCAACAACAAUCACAUCAGCAUCUUCGUCGGCAACAGCACCAGACCAACUGCAACUCUGACGCAGGCCGAAACCCAAGUACGCCACAUUUUAACUUCAAAAUGUGCUUUGAAAGGGACGAGUUUUCAGAAACCAGAGUUCAAAGUGGGGGACUGGGUAUAAGUAAAACGUAAAUGUGCACUUCGGUUCUAGCGAUACAUUUGGACAGUACAGAGUGGAAAAGGCUGAGCCAAAGAGGAAGGAAAAAACAUUCAAACCUCUUCGGCGGCAGAGUUACGGCUUUGGAUCGCUCGACGCACUUGCUCAACAAUAGCGUGUGUGCGUGUCCCAUUUGCCUAAUAACAGAUGAAGCCUUUGUGAUUCUAUAAAUAGAAUCGCAAGUCCGCAAUAGAUCAAAUUACUGGUCGCAGUGGAUAGUGGCAUCGAACAAAAAAAAAAACACGGAAGAAGAAAUGACACCCUCGCAAGAGGCAGUAAGUACUAUUAAUAAUUUAAGUAUAUCUCCAAAAAUUUCUUCAACGGAACAACAGAAUGCGAAUGAAAUUCUAACUUAUUGUCAGAAUUUCAAUCGCAUGAAAAGCCCAGGCAAAAUGAAGGAAAUUUCUUUAAACAUUCUCCCACAUUCUUUCGACAUUAUUCUUGGAACUGAAACUAACUGGGACGAAAGCGUCCACCCUGAAGAAAUUUUUGGAAACAAUUAUUUUGUAUUCCGUGGCAAUAGAAAUUUAAAUCUCAGUCAGAAAAAGUCAGGAGGCGGCGUCCUCUUAGCCAUAAAUACCAGAUGUUACGACCGCUGAGAUGGCCACACUGUCGGACGGUGCAAAUUAAGAAAUCUGCAGAAAUCGCAAGUCGAAUACUUUCGGCAGUAUUAACACAGGCACCGGCAAUGGACUUCCCCUUAAACGAAGUCAGAAAAGCAUUUGAAGACACCACCUCGGACCAGAAUCAAAAACUCGCUGAAUCAUUCUGCCGUAUCCAGGAAAUUACGUCAUCCCACCGGGAUGACAUAAUUAAAACAAUUGCCUCAGAAGAAAAAUGCCCCUCGGACAUAAUUUUAGCAGUCCACGAUGAAGUGAGGGCCCUCACUUCAUCCAUCAAUAAACUGCAAGACAAUGAAAUUGAAGUCCGGCAAAAAUCACUGGCAGAAGAAUUAAACGAACAAACCGUACUGGAAAUCGAAUCUGGCUGGCGACUUAUCGGCAGCAAAAAAAUUUGGAAGCCAGACUGGACCGACUUCGACGCCAGGCAGCGGACUCGCCGUCUUCAGGAAAAGGAAGCCGAAAAAGCACGUCGCCGCAACCGAAAACAUCGUCAACAAAUUCAGCACCAGCAACAACAACAAUCACAACAACAUCAUCAGCAACGCCGGCAACAGCAACACCUGCAGCAACAACAAUCACAUCAGCAUCUUCGUCGGCAACAGCACCAGACCAACUGCAACUCUGACGCAGGCCGAAACCCAAGUACGCCACAUUUUAACUUAAAGGACAAUCAAUUCGACCAGGACAACGCAAGUAGCAGCAACUUUUUCACUCAUUCGUCAACCAAAUUGUCCGACAAGGAACUUCUAGACCAGGCAAGGGUCGAAUUUUCUGGCCAACCUCCAACUACAUCGAAUUCAAACUUCAUCAACUUCCGAAAAGGGGAAACCAUCAACCCCUACCGGAAGGAAAAAACGCCAAUCGUCCCACCUCUAAACGCCACCACGCCGCAGCCAGCAAAAACGUCAUCACAAACUCCUGAAGUAACAGACAGUAUGUUCUGUCUGGACCCAAUGAAGCCGCCCAUACAUGCAUGUCUUUUUUGCAUCCAAUGGCCUGCCUCCUGAACCUGAACAUCUUAUGAACAUCUUCAUGGAAUACAACUCAACAAUUGGAAUUUCACCUAAGCAAACCCUCACCGACCUGGAAACCUACAGGAAAUAUGUAACAACUAGAAGACUUCAAUACCUCACAGUAAAAAAAAACAUGGUAAAAUUACAUCUAAAAAGAAGUACAUCUUUUAUGUCAGAAAAAAGCUUUAAUUUUUCCUCUUAUAAUGUGUAAAUUUACAUCUGACAGACGCUAGGAAAAAAUAUCUGUAAUCCUAAAAAAAUAUCAAACCGGCGAUAGUUAUAUCUAGCUUACUAAGUCCGCGCCCCAACCCGCACGGCUAACUCGCCGCUGUGAAAACUGGACGAUCAAAGCCAAUGUAGCUCUAUGUGCUCCGUACAUUGUAUACUGUAUUUACUGCAUAUACGGUACAUAGAGGUACAUUAGCUUUGAUCGUCCAGUUUUUACAGCGGCGAGUUAGCCGUGCGGGUUGGGGCGCGGACUUAGUAAGCUAGAUAUAACUAUCGCCGGUUUGAUAUUUUUUUAGGAUUACAGAUAUUUUUUCCUAGCGUCUGCCAGAUGUAAAUUUACACAUUAUAAGAGGUAAAAUUAAAGCUUUUUUCUGACAUAAAAGAUGUACUCCUUUUUAGAUGUAAUUUUACCAUGUUUUUUUUACUGUGCUGCAGCAUUCGCGCGAAACCGCCAACAAAUUCUACCUGCCGACUACAUCGUCGAAUUUUUACAAGCAUUGACGCCUUCUAACACGGAGCCGAGCUCCUGUGGUCUAAUGGUUACAGGUUUCGCUUUAUGAGUGGAAGGUCGUGGUUUCAAACCCACAUGGCUUGGCAAGUCCUUUCUCCUGUACUCUUCACAUGUAGAAGGACCAUACUGUUCUCUGUAUAUUUGCGUCUGCAGAGUUCCACGGCCCGAUCGCAAAAAUGUGCUUUGAAAGGGACGAGUUUUCAGAAACCAGAGUUCAAAGUGGGGGACUGGGUAUAAGUAAAACGUAAAUGUGCACUUCGGUUCUAGCGAUACAUUUGGACAGUACAGAGUGGAAAAGGCUGAGCCAAAGAGGAAGGAAAAAACAUUCAAACCUCUUCGGCGGCAGAGUUACGGCUUUGGAUCGCUCGACGCACUUGCUCAACAAUAGCGUGUGUGCGUGUCCCAUUUGCCUAAUAACAGAUGAAGCCUUUGUGAUUCUAUAAAUAGAAUCGCAAGUCCGCAAUAGAUCAAAUUACUGGUCGCAGUGGAUAGUGGCAUCGAACAAAAAAAAAACACGGAAGAAGAAAUGACACCCUCGCAAGAGGCAGUAAGUACUAUUAAUAAUUUAAGUAUAUCUCCAAAAAUUUCUUCAACGGAACAACAGAAUGCGAAUGAAAUUCUAACUUAUUGUCAGAAUUUCAAUCGCAUGAAAAGCCCAGGCAAAAUGAAGGAAAUUUCUUUAAACAUUCUCCCACAUUCUUUCGACAUUAUUCUUGGAACUGAAACUAACUGGGACGAAAGCGUCCACCCUGAAGAAAUUUUUGGAAACAAUCAUUUUGUAUUCCGAGGCAAUAGAAAUUUAAAUCUCAGUCAGAAAAAGUCAGGAGGCGGC